rnacentral:rRNA from 1 species
GACGAACGCUGGCGGCGUGCCUAACACAUGCAAGUCGAGCGGGGUUGAGGCGAGAGGUAACUCGAGCUUCUACCUAGCGGCGGACGGGUGAGUAACGCGUGGGCAACCUGCCUCAAGGUUUGGGAUAACAGCCCGAAAGGGCUGCUAAUACCGGAUAUGCCUAUGGCCUCGCAUGGGGCUAUGAGCAAAGGGGAAACCCGCCUUGAGAUGGGCCCGCGUCCCAUCAGCUAGUUGGUGAGGUAACAGCUCACCAAGGCGACGACGGGUAGCCGGCCUGAGAGGGUGACCGGCCACACUGGGACUGAGACACGGCCCAGACUCCUACGGGGGGCAGCAGUGGGGGAUCUUGCACAAUGGGCGAAAGCCUGAUGCAGCGACGCCGCGUGAGCGAAGAAGGCCUUCGGGUUGUAAAGCUCUGUCUGGAGGGACGAACAAAAUGACGGUACCUCCGGAGGAAGCCACGGCUAACUACGUGCCAGCAGCCGCGGUAAUAUCACGUGUACG